ensembl:snRNA U6 U6 spliceosomal RNA
GGCUUCAGCAGCACAUGUCUUCCUAAAAUUGGAAGGAUGCAGAGAAGAUUAAGAUGGUCCCGGUGUAAGAAUUACACAAAAAAUUCUAAAGCAUUCCAUAUUUUC